GCCCGGGUGGUGAAAUUGGUAGACGCGCCGGACUCAAAAUCCGGUUCCGCAAGGAGUGUCGGUUCGAUUCCGACCCCGGGCACCA
rnacentral:tRNA from 2 species